AUUGAACGCUGGCGGCAGGCCUAACACAUGCAAGUCGAACGAGUGGCGGACGGGUGAGUAAUAUCUGGGUAACUGCCCGAUGGAGGUGGAUAACUACUGGAAACGGUAGCUAAUACCGCAUACCAUCAGAUGUGCCCAGAUGGGAUUAGCUAGUAGGUGGGGUAAUGGCUCACCUGGGCGACGAUCCCUAGCUGGUCUGAGAGGAUGACCAGCCACACUGGAACUGAGACACGGUCCAGACUCCGACGGGAGGCAGCAGUGGGGAAUAUUGCACAAUGGGCGAAAGCCUGAUGCAGCCAUGCCGCGUGUAUGAAGAAGGCCUUCGGGUUGUAAAGUACUUUCAGCGGGGAGGCGUUACCAGCAGAAGAAGCACCGGCUAACUCCGUGCCAGCAGCCGCGGUAAUAC
rnacentral:rRNA from 1 species